GACGAACGCUGGCGGCGUGCUUAACACAUGCAAGUCGAACGGAGUGGCGAACGGGUGAGUAACACGUGGGUGACCUGCCCUGCACUUCGGGAUAAGCCUGGGAAACUGGGUCUAAUACCGGAUAGUGUGGGAUGGGCUCGCGGCCUAUCCGCUUGUUGGUGGGGUAAUGGCCUACCAAGGCGGCGACGGUUAGCCGGCCUGUGAGGGUGGACGGCCACAUUGGAACUGAGACGCGGACCAGACUCAUACGGGAUGCAGCAGUGGGGAAUAUUGCACAAGGGGCGGAAGUCUGAUGCAGCGACGCCGCGUGGGGGAUGACGGCCUUCGGGUUGUAGACUCCUUUCACCAUCGACGCGGUAGAUGGAGAAGAAGCACCGGCUAACUACGUGCCAGCAGCCGCGGUAAUUC
rnacentral:rRNA from 1 species